AUUGAACGCUGGCGGCAGGCCUAACACAUGCAAGUCGAACGGUAACAGGAAACAGCUUGCUGUUUCGCUGACGAGUGGCGGACGGGUGAGUAAUGUCUGGGAAACUGCCUGAUGGAGGGGGAUAACUACUGGAAACGGUAGCUAAUACCGCAUAACGUCGCAAGACCAAAGAGGGGGACCUUCGGGCCUUCUGCCAUCGGAUGUGCCCAGAUGGGAUUAGCUAGUAGGUGGGUAACGGCUCACCUAGGCGACGAUCCCUAGCUGGUCUGAGAGGAUGACCAGCCACACUGGAACUGAGACACGGUCCAGACUCCUACGGGAGGCAGCAGUGGGGAAUAUUGCACAAUGGGCGCAAGCCUGAUGCAGCCAUGUCGCGUGUAUGAAGAAGGCCUUCGGGUUGUAAAGUACUUUCAGCGGGGAGGAAGGGAGUAAAGUUAAUACCUUUGCUCAUUGACGUUACCCGCAGAAGAAGCACCGGCUAACUCCGUGCCAGCAGCCGCCGCGG
rnacentral:rRNA from 1 species